GGAUCACGACUGCUAUGUAUAUAAUUAAAUAGCACGAGAGGGACUCAUCACAAUCUCAUUCUCUCGUCCCGGAUGUCACCGAAUGCCACACGUAGAAAAGGACGGUCGAGGCAACAGUAGCUCUCGGGGUCUAUAAAUGGACAUACGCACAACGAAAGAUCGGAUGGACCUCUAAUUUCUCGGCUCGGAGCUUGUACAUCAUUAAAGAAUUUCACACCUGACCUUCCACCUUUUUAUCGCGCGGAGGUUUUUUCGCCUCCUUCUCGUCCGAUGUGUCGCAAGACUUCUCUCCGGAUCGAACUACGGUUUACCGUAGCCUCGGGUCGAACGGUCAAUUCUAUCGGAGCUGCUGAUGCCCCUGCGCUUCCUCCUUUACGGAGAGGUACUCGGCUAGACCUUUUUUUCUGAGCAGGAAGCAGUGAAUAUUUUCUGGAUUUCUUCAUUCAGGUUGAAUCUUUUUUUCUGCUGAAAGAAAAUGGAAAAGUUUGCUCCUCGCGUUGCGACUCAUUUCCGGAGGUACGAAGAGAGCCAACUGGAAAGUUUGUUUUUCGCGCAGCUCUUUGAGAAACACAAAGUUGGGAAUGUUCACCCCCGGGGGCUCGAUUAGUUGGCCAGCACCAGGAGACGUAAAGUGUACAGAUUUUACGAGCGUUUCGGUCUUGCUAGAAAUUUUAUGGCAAAAAUAAUCAUCCGAGGGAAUAGACACAGAAGCGAUCGUUUCAAAAUUGAUGACAAAUUGACAGAAAAUCUUGUCUCUAACGAGACGCUGCCACUGCUUCAAAGAUCGAGGUCGUACAUAAAGAGUCACAUUAAAUUGAGCCACGACUCGCGCUCUAAGUGCGUGUGCGCGUCUUUGUAAAUAUAAUUUACACGUACAAAGAGGCACGAAUGCAGAUGUGAGUUCGCUGCCUCGGAGAGUGUGGGUGUGUCUCCCCAUCGUAUAUAUUCGAGCACGAAGAGGCUUGGAAGGAGAAUAUUCCUCGGCUCGUCGCCCUUGACGAGGAAACUUGGAAUCGACAAUCUCGAAAGUAAGAACCUCGAGUACUUUCCAACUGUAUAUUCCCCGUGCACAAUACAAACUCCUUUGGCAAAGAUGUUGAGAGUGAUAUAUAGGACACGUUAAACGAUCGCGAACGAACGAAAGGAAGUGGACCAAUGCGAUCGAGCCUCUCCAGAGGGAUGCUGCUUACGUCCUUUUCAUUCUACGCCUAUUUAUAUCUCGCCCCGGCACCAGGAUACCCCAUAAAAUAAAGCACGAGCCACCUUUGGGAGGGACUCAAUCUUCUCAACGAGAGGCCUUCUCGCCUUGCACACGCCACCGAUAUAUUGGUCAACGGAGAAUUCCUUGAGGAAGGUUCAUAUUAAUUCUCGAGCGAGUUGACGCGAGCGUCAUUCCGGAGAAAUAUUAUCUUGUCACAUUCGAUCUCUGACUCGACCUCCGAAGAAACUUCAUUUUUCAUUGAAUUUUACAAAAUAUCGUAUACGAAAUGUCUCUCGGCCUGAGUCUGGACGGAAAUCAUCGAGAAGAACAAGCGAAAACAAAAACGAACGAAAUUCGAGGAGUUUCUCUCAAGGAGCCCCCUUUUCGAGUCUCCAUCGCACGGAACCAGACCGAAACCUCCUCAACAAUCGGAGACCAACGACAAUGCGAAUAAUAACAAUUGUAAUAAUCGUUUUAACAGCACACAAUGGACACUUCCCGAAGAUAAAUACCGAGAGAACGAAUGAAAUGACUGGAAUAAAGUAUCGAUCCGGAUAAGAAUGAUUUUUCGUUUGUACGAGCAUAUCUCUGGCGUAUCCUGUGGACAUUUGAACAGUGUUUCAAUAGCGAUAUAUUUAGGUUUCGAGGCGCCCCGGUAACAGCGGCGGCACAGCCUCGCAAUCGCGCAUAGCUCGAGCUCGCUCUCGUAGUACGGCAUAUUUUAUACGUAGCCAACCUAAAACCGGCGACUUUCACUUCUAAUAAAAUGCGAAGGCCUGCUUUUUGCCGCUGCCGCGCUACCGCCGGUGCGCGCGCUCGCCUCUCGUACUGCCGUGCACCACACGCGCCGUCAAACGCUCCGCAACGCUGCUUACCACUUUUCCACGUCUCUCACUUUUCUUUGAAUGUCGAUCCCUUUUCUUUCUUUUCCGCGCUCGUAAAACUCUCAAAUACUCAACUCAAGAGCUGACGCUUACGUUUUGCCAUGACUAAUUGACACCGUCUCAUUUUUUCAGAAGGAAGCACACUCGAACGGUGGGAAUUUGACGAAAUUGCACAGUAAUUCGAAUCCGGGCCGACCCACUUCUACUGCUAUUACAAACACUUCGAAUUUCAUCUGCGUUCAAGUACUCUCGGGAACUGCGAUCCAUCGCUGUCAAACUCAAUUCCGUUGCAGAUCGAGUCGACCCAAUAAGGGACGUCCGUUUCGUUUUGGAAACUCGCCAAUUUAGAGGAUUCCUUCGUUGAUUCGCUCCUUCGUGAAUCUCCCCAUCUUCGGAGUCCGAAUCCUCGUAUAAAAUUUCCUCGAAAUGGUUUUUUUCAUGAAUUUCGCAAUUUGUUUGCAGGAGGAAGAACGAUCGACGCGGGGAUCAAAAAAUUUGGGGCGAAUGAACCCUCCACCGAUGACUGGAUUCUUGAAAAAUUAAUUCUCGAGUAAGCUUUGCUCGUGGCUGAGCUACGGAAGCUUCAAACGUCACUUGCGCGACAGGCUUUUCUCAAUUGGUGCGAGACAAUCACGGAAUUUCUACGGCCGUUCUCCUUCCAGAUAGAAGGAAAGUGAUCCCGUUCGUAAACAUUGGAAAUCUCUUACGACAGUGGAUCGAUGACACCGUAAAUCGAGAGCAUUUCAAUGGGACAACCGAGGGAAUCGUAAAGUUCAAAAAAUAAACGAUCUGGCCACUCUCAUCGGUACUUUUUCGCUUGCAUCGCGCGACAGAACGAGCUACUGGUUUUCAGAGGUGCGUCGAAGAUUCCGCACAGCGAGCGUCGAAGAAAAUAGAAAUUCACGAUGUUCGAGGCCCUCGAAAAAGUGUCACGUACUCGAGGUGUACGAAAGUGGCCCAUCGAGCACUUCUCGUGCAUUCUUCGUCGUACGAGACUCCGCUGGAAUACGUUCAUGAGGCCUUUGAAUCAAGAGAUCCCCGAAUUCAAUGUCCGUCGGUACGCUCGAUACUGAAAAAUCUAAUACAAAACGAAAAAAAGUACCGAUUUCUCGAUCGAGAACGUGAUCGAAAUUCUCAAUUUCUCUUUUCCUCGUCGAUUCGUUCGAGCCCUGCGGCGUGAAAAUUAAAAAAUAGGUGAAAAACUCUAGUGCGUUUUCCGGGAACUCAAAUUUCUAAAUUCGUUUCAAAAUUCCGUGAAAAACUUCUGAAUCGCGGUGAGUGUUGAGUAACGUUGGAAAACGAAAUUUUUAUUCUCGAAAUAUGAAAGGCCUGAGCCGAACAGUCCUCUCCUUGUAUGUGGAGCACAGGCAUGUCCUCAUGCUCGGAGAAGCACGUACAUCACGACGGGCAAUACGUAAGAAAUAAAAAUAUAUAUGGAGUCUCUCUA
rnacentral:lncRNA from 1 species